CCUCCAGACUCCUACGGGAGGCAGCAGUGGGGAAUAUUGCACAAUGGGGGGAACCCUGAUGCAGCGACGCCGCGUGGGUGAAGAAGUCAUUCGUGACGUAAAGCCCUAUCAGCAGGGAAGAAAAUGACGGUACCUGACUAAGAAGCCCCGGCUAACUACGUGCCAGCAGCCGCGGUAAUACGUAGGGGGCAAGCGUUAUCCGGAUUUACUGGGUGUAAAGGGGGCGCAGACGGCAGCGCAAGCCAGGAGUGAAAGCCCGGGGCCCAACCCCGGGACUGCUCUUGGAACUGCGCGGCUGGAGUGCAGGAGGGGCAGGCGGAAUUCCUGGUGUAGCGGUGAAAUGCGUAGAUAUUAGGAGGAACACCAGUGGCGAAGGCGGCCUACUGGACGGUGACUGACGCUGAGGCUCGAAAGCGUGGGGAGCAAACAGGAUUAGAUACCCCCGUA
rnacentral:rRNA from 1 species